rnacentral:rRNA from 1 species
CCUACGGGUGGCUGCAGUGGGGAAUAUUGGACAAUGGGCGAAAGCCUGAUCCAGCCAUGCCGCGUGUGUGAAGAAGGCCUUCGGGUUGUAAAGCACUUUCAGUGGGGAAGAAAGCCUUGGGGCUAAUACCCUCGAGGAAGGACAUCACCCACAGAAGAAGCACCGGCUAACUCCGUGCCAGCAGCCGCGGUAAUACGGAGGGUGCGAGCGUUAAUCGGAAUUACUGGGCGUAAAGCGCGCGUAGGCGGUCUGAUAAGCCGGUUGUGAAAGCCCCGGGCUCAACCUGGGAACGGCAUCCGGAACUGUCAGGCUAGAGUACAGGAGAGGAAGGUAGAAUUCCCGGUGUAGCGGUGAAAUGCGUAGAGAUCGGGAGGAAUACCAGUGGCGAAGGCGGCCUUCUGGACUGACACUGACGCUGAGGUGCGAAAGCGUGGGUAGCAAACAGGAUUAGAUACCCUAGUAGUC